rnacentral:lncRNA from 1 species
GAUGAACAGGGCAAACUGACACUAAACCAGGCUGAGUGCUGCAAUUCAGCACUACUCCUCCCAUUCCCAGAAGGCUAGGUUCAUAAUGGUGGAGAUUCUCCCAAAUAUCUUCAUUCCAUCACAAGAACACUGCCAGGCUUUUGGCAGACUACAAAUACUUUUUCUUUUCUUUUCUUUUCUUUUCUUUUCUUUUCUUUUCUUUUCUUUUCUUUUCUUUUCUUUUCUUUUCUUUUCUUUUCUUUUCUUUUCCUUUUAAUUAGGGAAAAUGGUUUCAAGAGGAAGAUUUAAAAAUGUUAAUAAUGUGAACUCCUAAGAGGCAUAAUAAUAGAGACACUUAUUGGAUAUACUACCUUAAAAAGUAAACUUAGCAAAACAAAAUGUAACAAAUAAUGUAAUAAUUGCCAUCUUCCCCUGGCUAAACCAAAAUAUCUCUUGAACUUUUUUUAUCUCAACAUGGGCUUUUUUAUUUUCUCACUGAUAAUUUUUCUGGUUUUUAAUUUUUCUAUUCAGGAAUAAGUCUAACACGCCCAAUUACCAUCUCAAGGCUUCAUGGAUAUCACGUUACAUGGAAUGAAAAAACAGCUCUUGGGUCAAGACACAGUUACAGCAGGCUGCAGUCUUGGGUCCAGGUGUGCGGUUACCAUGGCUCUCGUGAUGCCCUGCGGUAGCACUUUCUGCAUCCUCAUCAGCGACAAGCGUUCCCUCACUCCGAGUCAGGCUGAAACACCGUGGUUCAAAAGGGGAGAGAAGAUGUGGGAACGGCCUUGUCGCUCUGGGCUGCGGAGAGCCCUGCAGAGCGCGUCUGGGACAUGGACAGCGAACCAGAAUCUCUAGAAGCUUUCCAUAAAAUGGUGGCUGGGACUCAAGUGAUGAAGUACAGAGACAAAGGGAAACUAGAGCAACAAAAUAGUGGUUUUGGAAAGAAGGCCAAAAGAUAUAAAGAUGAGACAGAGAUUUUCAAGAUUGUGGAAAAGUUUCCAUUGACAACAGCAUAGGAAAGUAUUUUUGCACUUUAUAAUCUUAACCACUCUGUAAGGAGAGAGAAAGGAUCAGUUCCACAGACCCAAUUUCUACACACAACGUUUCAGUUUAUUCAAUAUGUUUCUUCUGAUCCAGUAACAUUUAGUCUCAUAAAGCAUUUGGGAAAUAUUGCAAGGACAAAGAAAGUGAAGCUUAAAUAAAAUAAGAGUGACUGAAUAGCUCA